UACGUAGGGGGCAAGCGUUGUCCGGAAUCAUUGGGCGUAAAGCGCGUGUAGGCGGCUCGGUAAGUCUGCUGUGAAAGUCCAGGGCUCAACCCUGGGAUGCCGGUGGAUACUGUCGAGCUCGAGUCCGGAAGAGGCGAGUGGAAUUCCUGGUGUAGCGGUGAAAUGCGCAGAUAUCAGGAGGAACACCGGUGGCGAAGGCGGAUCUCUGGGCCUUACCUGACGCUGAGACGCGAAAGCUAGGGGAGCGAACAGG
rnacentral:rRNA from 1 species